rnacentral:rRNA from 1 species
CUUUGAAACUGCGAAUGGCUCAUUAUAUCAGUUAUAGUUUAUUUGAUGAAGAAUACUAAUUGGAUAACCGUAGUAAUUCUAGAGCUAAUACAUGUAUAAAGUCUUGUAGACUGCAUUUAUUAGAAUGAAAACCAUAGGUUUCGGCCUAUUCGUGAGUAAUAAUAACUAAUCAUAUCGUAUGCUUAUGUAACGAUGUGUCUUUCAAGUUUCUGCCCUAUCAGCU